rfam:Oryza sativa Japonica Group DNA, chromosome 10, cultivar: Nipponbare, complete sequence.
CCUCCGUUCAAAAAAGGUUUCCGUGUUCAACGUUUGACCGUCUUGUCUUAUUUAAAAAAGUUAUAAAAAAUUUUAAAAGAUAAGUCAUGCAUAAAGUAUUAAUCAUGUUUUAUCAUCUAACAACAAUAAAAAUACUAAUUAUAAAAAAAUUUCAUAUAAGACGAACAGUCAAAUGUUGGACACGAAAAUAUAGGGUUUAUCUUUUU